GCCUUUGUUUCAUAACCCAGGCUUAACUGCGCAGGCUCGAAAAGUCCUCACUUUGCUUGCCAGAACUUGUCUGUGCCUGCAUGGCCUUGUGUUCAGGGGUCUCUUUCUGGUCCAUUGGGUGACCUCAAGACCCUUGGCAAGCUUCUGGGCAUGCUUUUCUUCGUUGGCCUUUGUAACAGGGAGGAGGUAGGGGGUAAGUUUGGCUGAAGCAGCAGGUGAAAAUCCAUCUUCUGGACAGCAGCUAUUGUCCUCAGGCUGGAGAGACCCAUAUAACACAAUUCCUUUUAGGAGGUGGGGGCAAGUUUGGCUGAGUCAGCAGGUGAAAUCCACACAGCAGCCAUUGUUACCGGUAGCCCCUGGGUUGGAGAGACCUGCGCAACACAUUUAUCCUCCUCAGGCCUCUCUCCAAGUCAUUGUCCAAUUCUUUCUAUCAGGGCUUCUGUUCCCUGAUGGUGAUGUUCAGGCAAAUACUGUUCUUCAGACCAACUCUUACAAUCACCCUCCUGAGCAUCUUGACUUUUUACCUUUGUUUUAUGUGUUAAAUAAUUGAGAUCUGCCAAGAUUGAUCUAAUAUGACUGAAGAUUCUACAUCCAGGGGUUAAAAUCAGCUGUCUUGUUCAGUAAGAGAGCAUAUAGGCUCCCUAGAUGCCACUAUUUGGUCACAAAGAAGUGUAAGAAAUGUGAUAGGAAGGCGAAACUGUCUUUCCCAUUUCAAUGGUAGUGGCAAACCAAAGCUCCCUGUGGUACAUACCACAGUAGUUAGCUGCAGCCUGAUCUUGUGAAGAGAGCCACAAAUGUACUGGAACACUAUGUAUAAUCUUACUGGCUCUCCUUAUGUCUGCAGCAUUUUAUUUAUAUUUUGGAUUAAUUAUUAACAGUUUAAAAUCUUUUUAGCCCUAUAAAGAUGCAGGUCCAUGCUGGUAAAACACUCUUGGGUUGUCAGGAAUUGCAAGUAGAGGAACCUUCCAAAUCAAGAUAACUUUGGAGAUGCCUGAUUGUCUCUGCUCAGUUGGUGACACAAAACAUUCUCUGUGUCUGGUGUCUGCCUCUCUUAGUAUGUUUUCAUAAAGUUCAAGGAUCCUAAUUUUACUUUUACUUUCUUUUAAUAACAGAAGAGGAAGCAUUGCUCUAGAUCUCAUACAUUCGUUUUCACAGAGAUGUAUAGUUCCUUAUACUCUAACCCACUUUAAAUUAAAGAGCAUUUGUUCAGGUGUUCUUUAGGUUUUCCAGGACAGAACAGCCAGCGAUAUGUAUCUGGACUAACUGAGCUGAAAUCUCUCAUCAAAGACACAACCCUGUUUGUCAAGGGAUUAAGUCUGUUCCUUCACCAUGUGCUGCUCUGUGAAUCUCAGACCAAGGUCAGAAUCAGCUUUUAGGCAUCAAUUUUGACUGCUUCAGCAGGGCUAACAGGAGCUGGAUUCCUCUGAUGUUCCCUUAAGGAGUCUGCAGUAGCUCACUGUGAUGGAAAGUCACAGUUGUCCUAAAGGCACUUUGUGUGCUCAUUCCUCAGAUGGCCUGGAGGCUUGCAGCUGUACCUGCAACAUCAUUGUAAACCUUCCUUCUCACUGUGAGCUCCAUUUUGAGCUCAGAGAAGAUGUCCUCAUCACAGCAACUGCCUCCGUGAUUCUCUGCAUGGGUGACUCUCAGUUCCUAGUCCAAGCAAACCCAGACAUUGGGUCCUUUUCCAGCCUCUGAAGUUGUAGGCUGCCUUGUUCCAAGUCUGAAUCACAGGAACACUACUCUGCUCUAGUGUGGAGGAAACCUUUUUUUUUUUUUCUUUCUUUUCCUGAAAUAGCUUCUUUGUUUUCCUUGGAUUUAAUUCUGUGCAUCCAAGCAGAAAGUUAAACAGUGUAAAACUGAAGAAAAUUAAUCACGUAACAUGCAGAAAAGAUAAACUGGGGACAUGUUUGUUAUUACAUUAGCUUCCUACCUAUGUCCUUGACAUGAAUUACUGGAACACCGGAGAGAACUAACCAGCUUGGAAUUUAUUUUUAAAUAUGUAUUGUCAUAAUGUGGGUCCUUUCUUCUUUGCACUUAAUUUUAAUGAAAGAAAAAAGCAAGUGUUGGCAUAAUAUUAUUGCAAAUCAUCUCCCUGGAAUAGUUAAUUCUUGUAAGUGGUAGCAGCUUUCUGUUGCCAUUAUCUUACUGAAAUUACUUCCUUAGCUAAACUGUUUAGGGCUGAUGCUAAAGAUAAGUGUAUGAAAACCAGCUUACGCAUUCUGCCCUUCUAGAAAUGAACUUUGUGACUGAUUAGAGUGAUUAAAGUGUGACUGAUUAAAGAUGAAAAAAGACUUGCUUUGGGAAGAAACAAGCUACUCGCUGGCGUUCUCGGCUCUCAGUUUUGGUGCUCCUGAUGACAGCUCUAGAUGAUUUCUGCCUGCUGUGGUGAAUCCAGCUCUCCUUUUCAUUCAGUUCCCAAUACAUGCUUUUAUAGGCUCUUUCAUUCUUCCUAAGUGUGGAGGGGAUAAUAAGGAUUUUGUAGAGGGAAUAUUGACUUGUUUCAUUGGGACAGUUUAGGUACUGAAUAAGCUCAAGAUUUGAAAUGAGAGGUGGUUUCUCAAACACUCAGACUCACAGAAACUGUCUUUGUUUUAUAAUCCUGGUACCAGCAUGGACUUUACUGUUGUGAGACUACUUGCACUUUUAAUAUUAAAUAUAUAGUUUUUUUCUUUUUUUUGGUAGAAUUUUGGCUGUAAAUUAUUAGAAUAAAAUAAAAAAUGAAUGUAAAAUAAACAAAUUGCUAACAGGUGUCUCGCCUGCCAGUGAAAUGCAGCUCCUCUCUGAGAUGAAGCACAACAGUACAACUCAUGGUUGUAUUUAGCUCAAUAAAAACCACAAGACCAAUUUAAUGAAACAGAACAUGAAAUAACAGAAAGGAUUCUGAAAAAAUUCCAAGUGCCAUUUCCUUGAAUGCCAUAUAUUUAAGUCCUGUAUUUUUUUCCUAUAAAAUUAUCACAAAUAAUUAAUUAUAAUUCUCUUCCUCCUGAGUGCUCCCUUCUGGUAUUCAGCAGUGCAGUACUGGAACAAACCUGACAGAUGUGCUCCUUUAUGACAGUUUUCUGUCAGGGUAACUGUGUCCUUUUUUUGUCAGGAAUUUAGUUAAAGACUCAUUAAAAGUAUUGUUGCAGUUUAACUUGAUCCCUGUUUUUCCCACAAAAAUGUAGUACAGCAAUCCUGAUGGCUUCUAGACUGCUGAUUGUCACUGUGGGAUGUGACGAUAGGUCUUCACCACUGAGCAAGUGUCCAUGUGUUCAUGUUCGGCCAUGCUACCGCCUUGAAUAAUUUCUGCUUCUUGCUUCUCUGCCUCUCUUGCUUUUUCUUCCUCUCCCCAUCUAACCUUGGCCAUGUCAUUCCUUUUUUACAUACCUUCUUGAGCUUCCUUCAUUUUUUCCUUUAGUGUUCACAUCACGACUUUCUAAGUACAUCUACAUCAUACAUCCUCGCUUCCCUUUAUUUUCUUCCCAUGUGUCCUCCAUUGAGUAUGUAGCUUUCAAACUUUACCAAACAAUACCUAUACCUUUCAAAACUUAUUUAACUGCCCACACUCUUUUCCUAGAUGCACGAGAAGAGUUGUUUGUCACAGUCCUGCAUUAUUCAGAUGUGCCUCAGUAUCUUUUUAUAUCUGUUGAGACAUACAGGUGUAUUUGUUGUCAGAACUCUUGAAGAGGAGCAGCAAUAUUUUUCAAAUUACUGUUGUAUGGGGGAUUCAGUUUUUGGUGAGCAACCUUCAAGGAUGUUUUGGUGUUCCAGAAUGUUACAAGCUCUGGCAUGAACACUCAAGAGUAUAAAAGGAGAAGUUUUCACUCUAAUUAUUGUUUUUGAAGAUUCAGCUCUUUGGGCAGAAGGAGCUGUAGAUAACUGAGCCAAAUAAACAGAUGGGAUCUUCUAACCCAGCUGAAGGAGCUGCCCUUCCUGUGGAAGGUUCAAAGAGAGGAUUUCAGAGCUGGGAAAAUAUCUCCAUCACCUGCUGUGUCUGAGAACUCAGUGCUUCCCAGUGGGCAUCACAGAGAAAUUCCUCAAGGAGGGAGAGACUCACGGUUGAGUUAGAAGGACUUCACCAGCCAAACACUGAUCAGGAUAUUUUGUUAUUCUUAUGCGUUCUGAAGCAUUCACAUGUAAAAAGUAGCAGUAGCUGUACAUCUUCUCAGGAGGAAUGAAACAAACAGGACAAUAUUUGUAGAGGGAGAUGAGGUCACACCAAUACCAAGAAUGAGAGCAAUUAUCAUCGUUUUGUUAAUUUGCAGUGUUAUGACAGCCUGAAAAAUAACUUACGAGCCAUAAUAAAAGACUUGCUCCUUGUUUUCCAAAUAGAGACGUGCUGAGAAGAGGAGUGCAGGGAGGGUUCUGCUACAGAGCAAGAAGUACUGAGCUUACCAAUACAAGAUAAAUGGUCAGUGUGAGCUAUGGGAGGGAGGAUCAAGUGAGUUUCUUUGCGAUGGUCUGGUCAAAAAGCAAGAAGAGAGGCAGACAAGCCUGUGCUCGCUGGUGGCAUCCUGCUUUUGUGCCAAGGUACUAGAUUCUUUUGCUUCUGCGAGAUGGACUACCAACAAAAAAGAAAUCAGUGUAAUUGUCAACAAAAUUAUUUUCUGAGGGAAAGUGGUUAAAUGAAACGAAUGGUUCUGGAUGGCGUUAAAUGUAUAACAAAUCUGCCAGCCAAAAAUAUAAAUAAAUGGAAAUCUAAAUGCAAGCCACUUAAUCAUUUCUAUUUGUUUUUCCUAGAUAGCAUCCAAAAUAAAAAUUGAUCAGGAAAGAUGGAAAAAUAAAAUGAACAAUCCAAAAUCUGUUGCGCUUGGGAGUGAGUAGCCAGAUCCAAAUGUGGCUGUUCACUGCUACAGGGUUAGGAUGAAGGUACUCAAAAGGAAAUGGAGGAUGUCUUCAGGGUUCCCACAAGAAAUCUGAAUGUAUGUCUGUCUGUCUUCAUCUGUGCUAAAGGGCACGUUGCUGAAAGACAUAGCCAGUGCUUGCUGUUGUUUUUAUAACUCCACUCAAAAGACAUUGGUGAUCUGCAUAAUUAAACCAAAUGCUAGCAAGCCUAAUUUCUCUAGUGUCGUCUUGAGUGGCACGUGUCUAUAAACAUCUAUUACACAGAAUUAAUGAACAAGUGAGCAGUGUUCCCUGUGACCUUGAUGAUAAAAACUUUUUAAACGUUCUGCUUCCAUGCUGCAGUUCGGUGUGCUUGGUCUAUACAAAGUGUUCUUGGAAGGGAAGAAUAGGUAAAAAUUCUUCUGAGAUAUUUCCAAGAGAAUAAGAGUUAUUCCUUAUCCUGCCCUCCCUCUAUAUAUACACAGCUGGGUAUGUAGAACUCAUUUUCCGUCAUGUUCUAUUGACCCUCCUGGAACCUAAUGCUAAGCAGAUACUGUUUCUCUUGAGGUGAUCAUUAAAAUUCAUGGAUCAGAAAGAAAUACUGAGCAGCAAGGAAAAUUUGCUGUCAAUACUUACAUGAAAGAGAAGUUGAUUUUUCUUAAAUCAGAACAAAAUUGUGUUGUGGAAUAUGCAUUGUUAAGUGCAUUCCAGUGCAUUGAAAAAUGAUGGCUGUGGCAGAGUUAAGUUAGUUGUGGCCCAGGAUCCAUCCUCUGUUUUGGGCUGUAGGUUUUCCAGAACCAACUUAAAAUACUUUUGUGCAUUUUGAGCACAGAUGUAUUCAUUAACUUUCUCUGGCUGUGUGGAUGACUUGUGAAUGAUUUCUUCAACCUGAAUGGAGAAUACAAAAACCUCAGUGUAGGGAAUAUGGAAACACAUGUAUAGAUUGAAGUCUGCCUUGAUUCAAGGCACACUUUUUUUUUUUUUUGGUAUAGAUUCUGAACCAUUAAAGUUCAUAGAGGACUUCCUUCCUAUCACUGCACCCUAAAGAUAUCAGAAAUCAGUUGUAGAAAUGGGUCUUUGCCACAUAUUUUUUCAGUUAGAGUUAGCGAUAAAAUUAGACUCUUCUUUUUUUUUGCUGUCUCAGGGAUAUUGAUCACAUGGGAUUAUUUCCAUUCCAUGCCUCAGAAGAGCCAUGAGGCUCGACAUGCAUAGUCAUGGUUAAAAGUUCAAAAUUCCAACACCGUAAUUAUUCUGUUUGAAUUUGUUGCAGCACUGACAGUGUCAGUGACAAGACUGUCAAGAAAAGACCAUAUAUGAGAAUGAAAAUAUAAGUCAUUCUUGCACUGCAUAGCUGGCAAUCAUAAAGGAAAGACAGAGAUUCUUAUCCUUAUUUCUCCAACCUUGACAGAUGGACAGAAAAGCUGAGUCAUAUUAACUGAUAAUUGGCAGAUAAAAUAGAUCAGGUCAAGCACGUUCCAUGGAAUAUGUCAUGUGCAAUUAAUCUUCACAGGAACUGUAACUUGAUUUUCCACAGCGCUUUGACAUAAUGGUGAAGAAUCUAGACUGCUUUAAGCUACAUUCAUCCUGUUAUUUAUAUAUAUAAAUAUUUUAUUGCAACAGUUUUCUUGCAGGUAUUUGGCACAUCCAAGAUUUAAGGAAUUUUUAUUAUCUCCAAGUUUUUUUACCCAUGAAAAGGUUGUAAUUGUGUUGGUUAAGCUAUACUGUUUGGCUAAAUUAUGAGAGAUUACUUGUAUUCCAGGGUGGGAUGAUCUCUUCUGCUUUGCACAUCAGUUCUGUAUCCUGGGGGAGCCCCAUGUCAGCCCCUGACCUGCAUUGCAGUCUCUGUUAUUGCUCCAUGAGUCUGCAAACUCUGGCAUUAUGUCUGACUCUAAGCCACGAAGGACCUGAUUCAGAAGACAUUUAAGAGUGAAUCUGUUUACUUAACGUGGGUUUUGGGUAAGGGCUGGAAGGCCCACGUCUGCUCCUGGUGAAGGGACAGAUGAUUGUCUCCUACUCUGUUGUAGUUCUACUUUACUACUUAGUAAAUCUAAGGUAGAAGAGGACUGAUUAAUUGGUGGUACACAGAAAUAAAUGCUGUCACUAUUAAACAUGGCCACUGAAGAUGAACACAGAUAAUCAUAAUUUCUGCUGUGAAUAACACCAUCAGGAGAAAUAUCAGGAGGCAGAAGGACUGGCAUCACGUUUACUGCUUAAUUUUUCUGUUUAGCUACUAUGCCAUAACAUGCCCAACCCAGCUUUGGAUCUAGGUUUUGGAGGGGUUUGGAGGUGAGUCUCUCAGUUCUUAGUUCCUUUCAGAAAGAUUGCCCAGUGUAUCUGGCGUUGUGCAUGAGAAACAAGCAAACAAAUAAAUAAAGAGGAACCCUCACAGGAUUCAUUUCUUCAGAAUAGUCUUUGGCCACAGGAGGGCAAUACUGUUCUAUAAUAAAUCCGGUAUGCUUUAUUCACUGAAAAUCUGGUUUGCAAACAGAUGCCUGAAGAGGGGAGUGGGAUUGAUCAUGUUUAACAGCCACCAAAGCCAUAUUGAUCAGAAAGUGGAUUUAUGCCUUUAGCUGUGUUUUCAGGUGUUGACCAGCUAGUCCUCCCAACACUGCUGUGGAGAUCAUCAUGCUUUUCAGAAGAGAAAAUUGCAGCACAGAAACAGAUUUAAGGAACUGCUUCUUCUCCAUCCUUGGUUACAAUUGCUGCUUGUUUAUUUCCUCCUUCCUUUUGCACUCGGAAUUGGAGGCCAGAACCAAGAGGUGGCACAAGAAAUACAACAGAUUUCGAGAACACCUUUCGAAGAUUUGAAGGGCAGCGGCAGCAGCAGUUUUGAGAGAAGAGUGGUUUCUUAAUCAAGCACAACAAAUCCAACAAAAAGCUUCCUUCUGUCAAGAAGGCAGCAAGAGCACAAGGGAGUCCUGUGCUGAAAGUCACAGAGGCUGCUAUGCAGUGCAUCAUACUGAUUGUACCACUUCUGCUCAAACACCAUUGACUGUAGCCAGGACUCUUCUGUCAAGCAGGAAAAUAAUACUGCUAGCCUGGAAGCAUGGAGGUUUGAAUGGAAUUGCAUUUAGGCUAGAUAUGAAGAUGAUUGCUGUAUUUUGAAAAAUCCACCUUGUAAUAUCUCGGUUAGUGACAGCCUUGGCUGAAGUGAUCACGAUAUUAUGGAGUCUGGGAUUCGGCUGAGCACACUGAAGGUUUUUAUCUUCAUUACUUCAAGGUGGGUGCGAACAACAGUAAUCCUUGCUUUCAUCCUGGUGUGCAACGGGAUGUGGUCAGCAGUGUCUGUAUGGAAAGCUGAAGGAGGAAAGGCAGAAACACAGUGCUCGGCAUCCUUCCCCAAGGUCUGGAAAAUUCUCUUCCAAUACACAUUGCACUGUGGGAGUUAUGGGAGAGAGUUUGGUCUCCACAGGCCCCCGUGCCAAGUUUCUUUUCAGGUGCCUUCUCUGUUGCAGAAGUCUUUCCACAAAGCAACAGCCUGUUUUAUGAAACAGGACCAGAGGGAGCAAAGGAAGGGGAAGAGCAUUUCUAGGGAUUUAUUCCUCUUCUGCAGAAUAGGAAGCUGCUGCUGUGGGUGCUUAAGUCAAUGAAGCAUUGGAUUUGCUUUCUCCCUGGGCUCGGAUCAUUAGCUGUCGUGUUAUUAUCCGUGUCUAGGUUAAUCUAGGACUAUUUCAGUUCUCUGGGGAUUUGAAACAUGGGAGAAAAAACACAUCCCUCAAUGACCUCUUCCUUUAAUGGUUACCUCCCCUUGGAGCACCAGGGUCUGUUUGCCCUACUGCAUGUUAUGGUGGCACUAAUAAGAGGAGGAAGAGUCUCAAUCACAGUGAACUAAGGAGGCCUUUGCACAGCAGAGAAUUUGGAAGGUGCUGAUUAGAGCUUGCUGUCUUCUAAAAUUAUGCACUGUUUUGUUUAUAAACUUGCUCCUGAGCAUGACUGAUUAUUUUUCUCUUUAGUAAUUGCAUCCAGGAUGAACAUCAUGACUGGAGGGCUUGGAUGUGGUGAUAAAGAUGACUCACAUCUAAAGCAGGAUCACAGUUUAUGGAAAAAGAUCUGCAGAGAGCAGAAAAGCUGCAAAACCAAGGAAAAGCAAAGUGCAUAUCUGUAUCAGGCAUAAAUAUCCGAGAAGGAGGAGUAGGUACAGCAAACAAGAGGGGAUCAAUCUUUCCUAAUGACAGCAGCAGAAGUGCUGUAGUCCUGAUUCUCUGCAGCUGCAAACGGGUAGAGCUGGAUCCAGGAGAUAAACAAACAAAAGCCUCUUGAAGCUAUAGUAGUUUAUAUCAUUCAAAAAGUGGUUCAAGAAACCCUGGAAGUGAAGCUUGCAUUUCGUUACCAAUAAUAACCUUUUGUAAGUAAGUCUGGCUUGAAAACCACUUCAAAUGAUGUGUUUCAAGAAUUGGCUCAUUAUGUCCAUCAUGGUUAUAGUCUGUCAAUUGCAGGGGGUGUAUUGUACAUUAUGAUAUCAAUGUAUAGUGAAUGACUUCAAACAUCACUGGAUGCAACUGCUUUUUGAAAAAUCACUCUGAGCGCUUGAUGGGGACCGACUGUCUUUCUGAUCAUAAGCAGCAGCCAAGCCAAUAAAAGCAAUCUUGAAAUACAGAAACCAGCUACUUAAAACAGUAGGGAUGAGUCUGCUGUCACCUGAUUGUUGGAACUGACCACUGCUGAAAUAAAAUACUGUUUUUCACAGGUCAGUUCUGAAACAAUUAAUAAACAUUUGCAGAAAAUGGAUGCAUGUACUGAAUGUAUGUUAACACAGGAGCCUGUGAAGCCCUGCAGCUGGUGGAAACACAUGACACUCAACAUGUCCUUCCACAACCACGCGUAUCUGUCAGAGAAAAGCUAUUAAAUAUCUGAUUCCAGAACCUCUGUUUUUCUUCAGGUUCAUGACCAUGUGGUGUGGUAAAUUCUUUGUUUUUCAGCUGCAGUAAUACUGAGAAGCUCUUAAAUUGGGUAUGUGAGAUCUGGUGGGCCAGAAGUGUCGAUAUCAACAUGUGAACUUUCUCUAACCAUGGAAAUUUAAUGUGAGUCAUACCAGACAAACUAAAAUGCUGGAGACUUAAGUCUGUAAAGUGACCAGAUCAAAUAGUUAUGUAAAGAAGGAAAAUAGAUCAGAAUAAGCAGGAGCUCAUUUUCUGUCAUUGGUCUCAAUUUCAAUACAAAAUGAUUUGCUGAAUAGUGGGCUCUACCCAGAGGCAGCUAAUAACUGGUUUCUGAUUUUCUUAGUACAUGUUUUAAAUUACCAGUGGCAUUGCAGACAUUUUCCCCCACUCCCUAAUUAAAAGAAACACAAUUUUUUGGUAUAAAGAUUUAGUACCUUUGGAUCCUAUAUUGUCAUAGACUUAAAGUUCCCUUUCUUGGAAUACUAACUUACUCUGGUUUUCAGUCCUAGAAUAGCUAGAAUAUUUGUAGCAGAUAAGCAGAGAAACAGACACCCAGAGCAAAUUCAUUUAGUACCUCAUGGCAAGGCUACUAAAGGAAAUGGCACUUUCAUAUCCACCUCAAUGAGCUUUGAUUAGGCCCUUCAGGAACUUAUUUCUGUAGGAUUAAUUCCAUUCUGUGAUUUCUAUUUCAAAUUAAUAAACAGAUCCAGAGGGACAGAAUUCACACAUCACCCAUAAAACAUCUCAUUCAGCUGUUUCUAGAAGUUGCUGCAUAGCUUUUUCUUUCAGUUUUGCUGUUGAGUUUGAAGUCUUUUAAAAUGUCAUUACCUUUUGCAGCACUGAGACUUUUGCAGUAAGCAGAAUGUCAGAGAGUAGGUAUGUGAAUUCCCUCACAUUCUUGCUUGCAUGUCGCUGAUGUCGGCGAGUUUACUCUUUCUGUGUCAACCAUAGUUUUUCUUUCAAUUAGUAAGGCGGUUAACUAUCAGAGCGUAUAAUCCCCCAAUUUAAUUUUUCUCAUGUGGUUCAUUGCCUCUCUUAUCUGCUAAUUAAAAAGGUUAAGCAAGGUUUUUGUUGAUGAAAUGCAGCCACUGCAUUUUCUCCUGCAAUUUCAGAGAAGUGUCCCACAUGUUUAUUUAUGUUUUAUAUUCAUUUACAUUAGCAUAGUGUACAAACUCAUUUCCCACCAACAAACCAAACCCUUCAGUCCUUUGGAGCCUGGAAAACUGUGGUGAACAUGUCUGUGUUGAACAUGUCUGUGGCGACAGCUUGCUUUGAUCUGUCCAUCCAUCUGUGCAGGUUUUAAUAUUGAGCCACUCACAGAUGUAUUUGCAGAAACCUUGACUUUUUUCACAAAGCCUUUCCUUAUCCAUGUCAUAAUUUUUGAAAAUGAUUGUCAUCUUUGCCAGCACAGUAGUUUCCUUAGCUGUGUUUCUAACAUGGUGUUCAGAAUUAAAAACUUGCACUGUGUUGCUGGUGAGUUAAGUAAUUUAAAUCACCCCUCAUUAAGUGAUUCCCAUAGACCUUUCGUGAACACAUCUCGCCUCUUUAUUCCUGAAACCCAUUGAUGUACCAUCAUCUGUUUGUGUCUGUCAUUCCUUAUCUAACACUUUGGCUCCAAAUGACUGGAGAAGUGACCAUCUUUCCCUUUUUUAUCAAAGAUCUAGAAAAGAGGAGACCCAACACAUCACCAAGGCUCCUAGGAGCAAGGUUAUUUCUUGCAAAUAUUAAUCCAUUAAGUGCUAUAUGAAAAGCAGACAAAAGGUAGCAAUAUAUGUAUGUCAGCUGAGAAACAACAUCAUUUGUAUUAUUAAUAAAUACAACAGCUCUCAUCCAUUUUCCAAUCAAUUCAGAUUGCUAUACAGCUGUAUUAUUGGAUUAUUCACUCUUAAAUUGUAGACAGGUGCUUUUUAAUAACAUAAAAAAAAAUCUGAAUGGAAUCAAAUCAGUAAGAGACAAAGGAAGAUCCAUAAUGGAACUGAAUUAUUUCAAUUAGCAUCUGUCUCACUCAGGCAGUGUUAUUGAGAGAAGCAGGGCUGGGAAGUUAAAGUUCGUGUUUCAUCCAAGCAGGAUCAGUGGGAUCCCUGUGCUGUUCUUGUUGGCGUUCCUGUUCUCAGCAGGAACAGGGCUUGAUCCAGAAAGUGCCGACAAUUUUUUUCACCUGCCAGGCUCAUAAUCCUUCCCAAAGUGCCUUUUUUAAGAGUCUUCUAGUUUAUGUCUUACCUCUUUCCUCUCUUUCAGAGGAGCUGGAGAAACCGAGGUUGCAUUGGAUGAGGGGCAGCUGUACAACAUCUUGGUAGUACUGAGACUGGGAAUUUACUGCCCCAUCUCAUGCCUUAUUCUAUAGAUGCAGGGUCAGAGGGGUGUCAGGUUUGCAAGGAGACAAUCCUAGUUGUCCUUCUGGUCUAUCCGAAUAAAUGUUGGCUAACAAGCUGUGAAGCUCUGGUUGUUGUGUGCCUGGGUACCAGCUCAUGUAACAUUUGCAGUCAGGGUUUAAGAGCAACUCUGUAUGUAUGGAGCAUAUAGUACAAGGACAACAGAGUCCUGUCUGACAGCAUAUUGUAAAAAUAACCUAAUAAUUCACCUAUUAGACUUUACUUUGUGGUAUAAUUUAUCAUAUAGUCUUGUCAUACAGUUUCAUUUUACUUGAUUGCAUUGACUUUUGUUGUAAAAACUCCUAUAUUAAAGUGGAGAGUGUGUUAGAGACACUUAAUUUUUUUUCCUCUGUGAUAUUUCACUCUGACUUUAAAGUUCUUGGCAUGAAACCAGAAGACAACAGAAAACUCAUAGGCAAUAUAACCCCAGUAAGAAAGACAAAGCUCUCUUCUUAGGAAAUGUCUAUUAAAGAGCUACUUGGGCCAUAUGGAGAAAUUGUUGUUACUCCCUCAGCACAGAUAUAACAAGGCAUAAUAGCUAAUUGAAAUGACAAAUUAUUUCUAUUUAGAAUUAGAGACACAUUCUGCAUUGACAGUAUCUCUUUGACUGUGCCAUUAAGAUGAAGCAGGAAAUAAGAAAAUCAAAGUGAUAAAGAAUAGUAGUGCUCAUAAUGGAGAGCCACGAAUGUUUUGUAGAAAUAGGCAUUGUUCCACUUGUCUUCAGUGAGGGCUGUAUUGUAUUGGUUGGUGGGAAGAUGCCAGUGCACUGUAUUAUAAAGAAGCCUAUGACCUUCUUAAAUCACUACAAAACUGCGGCAGAUUAACGAAAUGCCUUAGGACUUAGAGUGGAAAAACCUUUUUAAUAUUUCAUGUGCCCUGACUUACAGCAGGAAAUAAAUCAGUAUUUCAUGUUGUAAUAAACUUUAGCUUUUUUUUUUUUUUCUAGGAGUAACAUUCAUCCAAGAAACUACAUUCUUAAAAGAAAUAUUGAACAAAAACUAGAGAAAGUUAUUAAAGCUUCAUGUGAACAACCAAACAAGGCAUUGCUGACUUUCUAUUUGUCUUCCCGUAAAGGUGAUACUGUAGCAAUAAUAGAUGUAAGGCAAUAAUGGACAUAAACCAAAUAGAAAUACUCAGAAAACCAAGGAGAUAAUAAAACUGGUAAUACUGAGGAAAUUAUAAGUCUGAUUCUGACUUUUUCUUAUAUAGGUGGACGAAUAUCAGAAACAUCACUGGAGUCACCUGGGAGUACAUGAUAGAAAAAGCAGUCCAUGUAUCUUGAAGGAAAAAUAAGAGACUAAAGUAUUGCAUGUUAGUUCAAAUGUGAAAAGAAUAAUGAAUUAUACUGCAAAAUGAAGACGGGUGCUAACCAAAAUGAGCACAUUUUAUAAACAAAGAUUAAGCCAUAUUUGAAGUAUUUCUGGAGGUUUUCACAAGAUGGGGAGGGUUUACCAAGAUACAGUUACUGUAGGAUUGUACCAUCCAUGGUUGUAAUCGCUGUUGGCACACUGUACUGCAGAACUGAGCAAGUGCAGCUCUGGCAUUGUCCUUCAGCCAAAUAAAUGUCUGCCCUGUUGUUAAACCAUCAGCUGGGGAGGUGCUAGAAACGUAUGGACUGAGCCUGAAGAGCCGUCAGUUCCUGAGACCUAAUCUCAUGUCUGAAACCCACUGGACACUAAACUGUUACUACUGAUUCCACUCAGUUUGGCUGCUUUUUGAGAGGAAUUUGUGAGGGCUGUGUUUCACACUGUCUGGGUACCCACAGUGUCAGGAGCACUGAGGGGGUAAUAUGGGACCUGAGCACCAACUAAAACCAGGACUUGGUGUCCCUUGUAGUGUAGAGGUGAGUUUCAAAAUCUUAUCUUGCUUUCUCUGCCUGUUAGCCUGCACAUUUUAGUGUAUGAUUAUUCUGUGACUGAAUUGCCAGAACAAUGGAUAUGCUGAGGUAUAAUUAUUGCUUGGUAUGAAGAAAUCAGUGAUUAAUAAUGCAACAUUGAUUACUAUUUGUGAAGUCUAAAAUGACUGAGAAAUAAAAUUAUUUUCAAAUGAGGAUUGCAAAAUGCUAUACAAUUAGAGUUUCCUCUAAGGCAAGGAGACCUUCCUCCUGAUGAGGAUCAGAAUAUUAUUUCCUUAAUGCUGAUGUUGACCUCACUUACGUUGUAGACAGUGAACCAUGAAUAAGAGAUAAAAUAAUAUUUUUGGCUCUGACUUACAGGAAUAAACCCCUUUGGUAACUGACAUACAAGUAUUACAUAACCCACCAUGUUUAGCCAUGAGGAAUUAGUUCAGCAAGCGUUUUAGUAUCUUGGUUUUGGAAUUGCUGUCCAGAAGUAUUAAGCUAUAGCUUUCACAUAGUUGGGCAAUAACAUUGUUUCACUGGAGGAUCAUUCUUACUGGUCAGGCGUGACCUACAUGCUGAAAAAUAUUAUGGUAGGCAGCUGUGAUAUAGCUAAUUAUCUGAUACACCACAAGGCAAUGUUACCAUCUACAGGUCAUUUGUAUGUUCUUCCAUAUUUUUGUUUCUAGCAGACUCAUAUAUGCUUGUCUAAAGACACACUUAGAUCAGUUUGUAAUUUAAAUUAGAUGUUACUGUUUUCAUACCUAACUAAUGACUUAAAAACUAAAAGACAAUUUAAUUAUGUGAUCUCCUUCUAUUCUCGUGCCCAUGGAGAUGCAACAUUUUAAUUAUUUUUUCUGUACAUUAGGUCUGUGGCAGUUGCGCAUCCCCCUGAGAUCUGGAGACUUCAAUGGGGCAGCUGGUGGCUCUUUUAGCACCUUUUGUUCCCCACCGUGCCUGUCCCCACAUACACACCUAGGGUGGUACCAAGGUGCUGACAGUCACAUCUUCCCCUACCCCGGGGCAGGGUGACUUCACCUCCACCAGCUGGUGGGACAGGAGUGGUGAGACUCUCGAUCAGAUCAGUUGACAGAGUCAUUAGCAGAGGAGGUGCUCAGAGUAGCUGCAAAGCUUCUGGACCAUGUUGUAAUGCCCACAGCCAGAUCUGAACAGGUUAUAAAACGGGGUCCCUGCCUAGGCCCCCUUUUGGAGUGGUUUUCUCAGAGCAGUGAGUCUAUGAACUGGAGCCCUCUCCUUAGUCUGGGAUGCUGUCUGAGGAGACUUCUUGGGAUUGAGAGCGCCUCACCUCCUCGUUUGGGUGCGUGUUUAUUACUGGAUAUAUCCUUGAACGAGUCCUUGCCUAACCUUGAUAUCUGAACCUGUAUUUUAUGUUGUCAGAGUGCUAACUAAUUGCAUAAACCCUGUUUCUAGUCAGCAUAUUGGCUACACUUUUCCGGCUAGAAGAAAGUCUCUUUUGGUACUUGUUGUCCACCUAAAACUGACGUUGGGGUGCCUCUGUGACAAGGUCAAAUAUAUUCUUAGAACUGCAUUUCCUCCUUAAGAAAGAAUUUUGCUACCAAUAGUCUACAACACACGAGCAUCCUGGAAAACCUCAUGAACCUGUGUAAAGAUGGAAGUGGAAGCUAUUUUGUUUAAAGAUGUCUUUUCUCCAAUAUUCUUGGAAGCUAUGCAGCUUUCAUAAGCAAUGUCCACUCAACAGAGACUUGGAGUCUAACUGUGUUUUUACAUGUAAUGGUUUCAGUUUCUUCUAUUUUCACUAAUAUGAAAGAAAAUUUGUUUUAUUUUCUAUGUUAAUUUUUGAUUUUAAAAUCUACAGUUAAAAAAAAAUAAUUUUAGCCCCACAACUCAUGCAGUGUUCUCCAAUGGUGCUCUAUUUGCCUUGCUCCAUUCAAUUCAGAGAAGCUUCAGAUAUCCCAAAGUUCUACAAAAUAAGACUUCACUGCCUUCACUAGCAGCUUUUGAAGAUAUUUGUAACCACGUUUUUCUUCUUAAGUCAGUGAUACUAAAAUAUGGAAGGUUUCUGUAUAUAUAGAAGUCACUCAGAAAAUAACCUUAAUCAUCUGAUGGAUGUCUAUAAAGGGAAGUAGUUUUUGCUUUAAAUAAAGUUACUGAAAGAGUUUCAAGAUGGCAAAGAAAACAUUGAAGCACAGGACAUUCAGAGUUAAAACUGCUCAUGAAAGCUUGAUCUUUCUACUGUGUGCAUAUGAAUUGUGACACUGUUUUAAUUACCAUAGUCAUACUUUCCCACCUUCCCUCCCUUCAAGAUAUCUGCCAGUUUCAAGACCUAUUUGGCAAGUCUAUCAUCUUCUUCUUCCUUUGAGUUGAUUUCAGUUCUAUGCUCAUGGGAUAUGCUGGUCGAGAUUUAUUGUUGGCUUUUCAGGUGCUUGUGACCAAUGGGUUGGAAGACUCAGAAUAAGACUGUCACAAGCAUAAAUAAGGCUGUUACAUACAAAUCCCACUUAUGCACUCAUCUGGGUCUUCCAACCCUGUGCUCCAAGCGGAGGCCACAGCUCUGACUCCCAGUGCUGGGAGAUGUCCCUCCCUUUACAGGGCCUCUGGCUGGACUGGGAUAUCCAGUUCUGGAAAGAUCAGGUCAGGCAUUUUUGUGUGUGUCUUUUAUAUUCCUCCCCCGCCUCAGUUUUCCUUUCACUUGUGCCUCCUGCACCAUGAUUUAUUCUUCAUGGGGCUGUAAUGCAAAGUCAAAGCUCUAUUAUCUAAAAUCAGCAACCUCUGCAAUGCUACUUGAAGGUGUAGCAUGGUUACCACUACCAUACAGAGCCAAAUGGAUGAACAGUUAAUGGCAUUAAUACCUCCCAGUGGGGAGGACAAGAUGUCAUCUCACUUCAGUGAUGCUCAGCUUCUGCUCAAUAACCUGUUUUUUAGCAUGUUUCCUUUGUUUACAUCCCUGCUAACUGGGCAUUCAAUUUUGAAGUGUCAAAGGCUUGUCCGAUAAUUUAAAGUAACAUAUUCUGGAGGACAGCACUCUGCCACAGCUGUAUACCUCUGGUGACCUCUCAGUGCUCAUUUUCUCUUGGUAUUAAACAGAGACAUUUCAGAUCCUCUGUGGCAUUUUAAAUGGGUUUGGUUUGGGAAGUCAAACUGUAAACAUAAGAUAACUAUCUUGAUCAUUAUAAAACCAACCAACAAAGUUCACAUUCUGCUUGGAGCCAUUUAAAAUCUUUCCCAGUUUUUCCAGGUAUGUUACCCUUAGAGAACAAUUUGAACUAAUUUAUCAUUCCACCAUAUUUAAACUAAUUGAUUCAGCCUUAACCCCAUUCAAAAUGUGGAACUUCUAAUGCAGUUGUGAGAUGCUAUAUUGAAUGGUCAUUAAUAUAGCAUUGGGACAGCAGAGUAGCAAUGUGUUCACUGCCCAUUUCAGUGACUUUACCUGUGCAGUUUGCUGGUGACUGUCUUUUUCUUUAUAGGUAUUACAGAGCCAAGCUACCUGGAUUUCAAUCUGAAAUCUUCUAGUCCAAGUGCUGAUAAAUAGGAAAGAAUAUAGCCCGCAGUAAGACACUGUGGUGUGGGAUACCAGGCUUGCAAGUCAGGAAACACAAGGACUCAUUUCUCAGUCACUGACCUGCCAUGUCUCUUUGUUGGUGCAAUUUCUCCUUCCCCUGCAUCUCAUCUGUUUUGUAAGCUUCUGAAGCAGGACACAAUCGUGUUUAACAUUUGCUCAGGGAGCAGAAAACAAGAAGCCUCAAGAUAAAAUAUCCCCUUUCUAAGCUGCAUGGGAUGGAAACAAGUAUAAUGGAAAAACGAUGGUAACAGAGGGCAAACACAUAUAAUAACUUUAGUCCUGACCGCUUGAGGAGGAUGGGCCUUUAUUGCUUUUUGAUUUCUCAUGAUGGCCUCGUCACUUAAUGCCAUAUCCUUGGAAACUAAUAGCUGACAUCUUUCAAAGCAAAAUGCAGUAUGGUUGUAUAACUGCUAAAAAUGAUUAGUUGUGAACACAACAAAUUUUAAUUAAUUAAUUAAUUAAUUUACUUAUACUCCCAGUAGGCAGAAUGAUAUUAUUUUGUGGGUGAAAUACAUUAAAUUAAAACUUGAGCUGCAGGGAGAGAACUAAGCUGUUCUUCCAGUUCAAAUAGUUUAGGCCACAGAAAGUGGAUGAUAAUAUUUAAGUAUCCAAGUAUUGCAUCUCAGUGAAUUUGAAGGUAACUUUGGCUUUGUUCCAAAAUGGCAUUUUUCUGUGUGAAAUGAACCUAAAUUAAAAGUGCAGAUUUAGCUUCAUAUUCUUGUCAUCUUUUGACCAGACCGAACAAUCUCAGCUCUGCACCUACUUUUCUGCAGCUGGACAGAAAAACAUAAUUAUUUUUCAAGAGGAAAGCCACUUUUGCCCACACUAAUGUGACCAAUAUUCAUUCAUUUUUCAAUCAGCCUAAGUGGCCGUACUCAUUAAAUCUCCAUAGUUUGUUUACUUUUAAAACAUGUCCAUAUCUCUUUUCAUUUAAGUGAAAUAUCACCAUUGUAGCAGUCUGGUGUCCUUUUCAGAUUUACUUUUAAGGAAAUUAAGCAAUUAUCUUCAAGCCAUCUAUAAACUAGAAAAUGCAUGUCAAAAACUGUACUAAGUAAAUGGCUUCAUAAUUACAGCUAUGCUGAGAUGUUUGACAGAUAAUCUCAUGCUGACAAAACCCCAGGUCCCUGCAGAGGUCAAAGGAAACCUGACACGGAGGUGCUGAAGUGCCAGCACUUUUCAGGCUGCUCCCAGUAUGUGAACUGAUGACCCUUCUGAGAUGGAAGGUAAAUACAGAAUGAAUUCAUGUACUGUGAUCUUGCUCUGCUUAUCAUUAUGUUUAAGAUGCAAAUGAACCAAGAUGUGGAUGACGGGGAGGGACUAAGGGAUUGGGAUGUGCAUGAGGAACCAAGCUUCAAUAGAUCUCUGCAGUGUUUUUUCACCUCAGCAGAGUAUGUGAUUGGAAUGAGUGUUGAAUGCUUUCCUAACUCUGACAUAGUUAAAUGUAAUUUGGUGGUGUAUGCUUGAAUAGGUAGGUUUCUGAGACCGACUGCAAAUUCGAGGUACAGACACCAUCCCCUGGAAACAAGAGCUGGUUAUCCUCCCACCGCUGAGAGGUUGUGCUCUGCAGACCACAGCAAUGGCAGAAUUUCUCUGUCCCUGCUCUGGACAUGUCUGGAGCCAGGGCUGGGUUACCACUGAGAUGGAAGUCAAACCCUUGAAUUUGCCAUUCCUGGGGAGUAGGCAAUGACAUGUUACCUGCCCUGGGGAAGAAUUCCUGGCUGUAUAAUACAGGAGGAGAUACAACAAGUGUCCACUCAAAUAAUUGAUCAUGAAUUUCUCACCUUGCAAAGACUUAUGGUUAUUUCAGAGAAUGUGUGUGCACUCACUAGGGACCAGGAGGCAUUACUUUUUCAAAGAGCAAAGAAUAACUAUGUUAUAGAAGCUAUUCUAGGAAUAGCUUUGAAGCAAGGAAUGUGAGAUAAUCCUAUUUAUUUUGAUGGAGUCAGGGCUACAGACUGUUAUAGUCCAGCUCUGAGUAUGUAUUUUUAACUUCAUUUUAUAAGUUGGAAAUUGGAUAAGAGAGUUCAUAAUCCUGUUCUGGUAAAGAGCAUCCUUAUAGGCCUUCUUUUUAAGUUUUCAUAGGGGACUUUCUCAAUAGUAGCUAUGUGUAGGCUACAGGGGCAGGAUUCAGAGUGAAAGCACAAAACAUCCUUGCAAAAAAGAGGCCAUUUGCUAUUAACUAAUCCACAUAAUUAAUUGUUUAACAAAAUAGUAUUUUCUUAGCAAGGUACUUACUUCCCUACGAACAAAUGCCUCGUUAAUUCUGAGUCCUUCAGCCUUUAUUCAGAAAUUAUUUUUAAGAUGUGAAAUGAAAGUACGGUCUGCCCUGAACACUGAAAUAGCUCAAGACUCAUGGACACCCUAACUGUGAGAUUGCAGAGAAAGUUCCAGCCCAAAUGAACUAAUACAGAGUAGAAAAUAUCAAAAUAACUGAACCAGGACAUCCUCACAGGGACAGGUUAGUCAAGAGUCUCUGUACCUCUAGAUGUACAAAUUCUGGGAAAAUUCUAACAGCAGGGUGGGGGGAAAAUAAAUAAAUGAAUAUUUGAUUCUUGAAAAAAAAAGAAAAAAAAAAGCCAGAAAAUGUUGCAACUCCAACAGAAUACCAACUGAUACACUUCCAUGUUGAGAUCCUGACAACAUGACACUGAAAUAGAUUGUUCCCAGUAAGGCCUUCAGGAUCCAAAGAACAGCACGUAGCAGAAGGGACGUUGGAGAAAUGCCCAGAGGGAGAUAUACACAGUUGCUUGUACAGGUGAUUACCAUUUUGAACUAAUCUACCUGGAUGAAAUCUGGCUUUUUCAUUGUUACGCAGCCUAGUUACCAUGUUCAAAAUGACUUGAAGAAUUUCACUACAUAUAUAUUUUUCUUGAUUAGAAACAGAUCUGAAUCUGGGUUUCCUUAACAUAAAGUCAAAUUUUGAUUAUUCAGAGCCAGCUGCCUCUCAGGCAAUAUCACCAAUGAAAUUCUGCAAAUUACUUAAUGACAUGAUAGGGAAAGUUUAUUUCUUACAUAUCCACCUGGGUUAUUCACUUACGACUAGAAAAUGUACAACGCUACAAUAUUUAUCAGGUCACAGUUCUCAGAGAGUUAACCAAGAGGGGCUUAAGAACAGAAAAGUCUAUAUCUGUAAACAAAUAAUGCACAAACUGGGAUGUCCAUACAAGUGACAGCAAACAUGAAGCAACAAGAAGUAAUGCAUUUUAUACGAGUUUAAAGAAUCAGUGGUUGGUUACCCUAAUAAACUUACCACAAACAACUAUAAGGUUCCAAAUAACCAGUGGCUGCAAACAGCAUUUGGAAUAAGUGCUCAUUGCUGGACCAAGAAAGGCAUUUUACCCAAGCAGACAGCAUCUGAUUCUAACUCUGUAUCAACAGCAGUGAAGGUACUAUGAGGUUAGAGGGGUGUAUGCAUGAAGGAGAAGAAGCUGGGCUAAGGAUUCUUGGCUCUGCAAUGAUAUUGAUCUAAGAGUUGAAAAUAAGUAGAUUUCAAGUUUUAUUCUUUUAUAAGAGCUUCUGUCUCUUUAGUUAGUUUUGGGUGAACUGUCAAACUCUUCACUGGCAUAAAAAAACUGUAGUAGGCUGAUAAUGAGCUUUUAUUAAAGAUCUUCAUUUUGCUUAAGAAAAUGACUUCUGCAGUCUAGCGUCAGCCAGAGAGCUUCUUUUAAUGGUUUCCCCAUUUCACUGAAAGUUUGGGGUUGCAAUUCUGCCCAUUACCAUGAACUGUAAGAAACAUGAACACAGAAACCAGUCUAGCAUACAAAAAAUAUGACAGCGUUUUCCUAAUAUUGCCUAUAUAAAGCUCUUCUGUUGAUUACAAGCAGGAUGAAGUAAAAAUCCUCAGCAAACCUGUGAAAUGAAAAUCAAUGGAAUGAAUACUGAUUCAUGCCUGUUAUUUGCUGAUGACACUGAGCUGGGAGGAGUGGCUGACAUGCCAGAAGGCUGUGCUGCCAUCCAGAGACCUGGACAGACUGGAGAGCUGGGCAGGGAAAAGUUUAAUGACAUAUAACCAGGGCAAGUGUAGAGUCCUGCAUCUGGGCAAUAACAACCUCAGGUUCCAGUAUAAGUUGGGGAAU